UACGUAGGGUGCAAGCGUUAAUCGGAAUUACUGGGCGUAAAGCGUGCGCAGGCGGUUGUGCAAGACAGAUGUGAAAUCCCCGGGCUUAACCUGGGAACUGCAUUUGUGACUGCACGGCUAGAGUGUGUCAGAGGGGGGUAGAAUUCCACGUGUAGCAGUGAAAUGCGUAGAGAUGUGGAGGAACACCGAUGGCGAAGGCAGCCUCCUGGGCCAAUACUGACGCUCAUGCACGAAAGCGUGGGGAGCAAACAGG
rnacentral:rRNA from 1 species